rnacentral:rRNA from 1 species
CGCUGGCGGCGUGCUUACACGUGCAAGUCGAGCGGAGUAACCCAACGGAAGUUUUCGGACGGAAGAUGGAAUUACUUAGCGGCGGACGGGUGAGUAACGCGUGGGCAACCUGCCCUGUACAGAGGAAUAACAUUGGGAAACCAGUGCUAAUACCUCUUAUACCCUUCGGGUGGCAUCACCUGAAGGGGAAAGAUUUAUCGGUACAGGAUGGGCCCGCGUCUGAUUAGUUAGUUGGUGAGGUAACGGCUCACCAAGACGAUGAUCAGUAGCCGACCUGAGAGGGUGGUCGGCCACACUGGAACUGAGACACGGUCCAGACUCCUACGGGAGGCAGCAGUGGGGAAUAUUGCACAAUGGGGGAAACCCUGAUGCAGCAACGCCGCGUGAGCGAUGAAGGCCUUCGGGUCGUAAAGCUCUGUCCUAAGGGAAGAUAUAGACGGUACCUUAGGAGGAAGCCCCGGCUAACUACGUGCCAGCAGCCGCGGUAAUACGUGGGGGGCAAGCGUUAUCCGGAAUUACUGGGCGUAAAGGGUGCGCAGGCGGUUUGCCAAGCCUGAUGUGAAAGACCUCGGCUUAACUGAGGCAGUGCGUUGGGAACUGGCAGGCUAGAGUAUAAGAGGGGGAGUUGGAAUUCCAGGUGUAGGGGUGAAAUCUGUAGAUAUCUGGAAGAACACCGGUGGCGAAGGCGAACUCCUGGCUAUAUACUGACGCUGAGGCGCGAAAGCGUGGGGAGCGAACAGGAUUAGAUACCCUGGUAGUCCACGCUGUAAACGAUGUGCACCAGGUGUUGGAUGGGAACAUUCAGUGCC